UGUCUUAAGGUGUUACUUUACUACGAACUCUAGGGCUGUUUGUGACACUUAUAGGAAUAGCCCAGUGGAUUGAUCGGAAAGAAUAACUUUGAGCUGGUUUCGUACCCUACAAUGAUCUCUUCGUUUGUUCUCUGCUAUUAGUGACUUUGGAGUGACUCUUUGUUGCAUGUUGAGGGAUUGUUAUAUGAUCUAAUUAUGUUAUUAUUGUUGAGAGAACUUGCACUAGUGAAAGUAUGAACCCUAGGCCUUGUUUUGAAGCAUUGCAAUACCGUUUUCGCUCACUUUUACCACUUUCUACCUUGCUGUUUUUAUAAUUUCAUAUUACAAAAAUAUAUAUCUACCAUCCAUAUUGCACUUGUAUCACCAUAUCUUCGUCGAACUAGUGCACCUAUACAAUUUACCAUUGUAUUGGGUGUGUUGGGGACACAAGAGACUCUUUGUUAUUUGGUUGCAGGGUUGUUUGAGAGAGACCAUCUUCAUCCUAUGCCUCCCACAGAUUGAUAAACCUUAGGUCAUCCACUUGAGGGAAAUUUGCUAUUGUCCUACAAACCUCUGCACUUGGAGGCCCAACAACGUCUACAAGAAGGUUGCGUAGUAGACAUCUGCUCAAGACAAAAACUUUUGACAAGUUGCGGAAAUGCGGCAGGCGCUGACUUGAUUAGCUGCCGAUGGUUCUUUGGUCAAUCAGGAUGACACCAAAUCAAGCUACUGGUGAGACUCCCUUCUCCCUAGUAUAUGGUGCAAAAGCAUUACUCCCCAUAGAACUCGCAUACAGGUCGCCUCAAGUACUUGCCUAUGAUUAAGUAGUGCAAGAGCAGCUGCGGCAUGACGAUGCCGCGCUCCUUGAGGAGGAUCGUCUCCGGGCAACUGUACGUGAUGCACAAUACCAGCAAGCCUUGCGCCGCUAUCACAGCCGCCAGGUUCACACCCGGAGCUUUGAGGAGGGCGACCUUGUCCUUAGGCGCGUUGAUGUAGGGGGGAACCCUAUGGGGCCGAUCUUUCACGUUUGGAGAGGAUCCUAUGGGGAACACGAAGAACGCGCGGAAGAACACGAGGGAGAACACGAGGGGAAAACAAGAGAAACACUCAAGCGACAUGAAAUUGAUCACACAAGUGCUAGAUCAUCGAGGGCACAAAGUAACACGAGAUCCAGAGUCAACAAGGGACGAUACAAGAGUAACCGUUCUUCUCCGUGAGGAGGUCUUGAUUGUCUUCUCCGGAUGGAGUCCUUGAAUCCGGAUGGAUCUUCUCCGAAGAGGUGCGGUCCCUCACGAGGAGUAGAUCUAGUACGGAUGAGAAAUGCUCUAUCUCAAAUGAGCUAAACCAAUGCUAACACUAAAACGUAGGAGGAGAUGGAGUAUAUAUAGUCUAGGGGCGAAGGGGGUACAUGGGCCUCGGCCCUUACACUAUUCGCAGACAGGGAAGGCCGGAUGUCCGGGCGUCGGGCCGGAUGUCCGGUGGUUCGCGAGGGGCCGGAUGUCCGGGCUGAAGGGCUGGAUGUCUGGGCUGGUGGAGACGGCCGUGCUACUCUCUGGAUGGGCGAUGCCGGAUGUCCGGGCAGAGGGGCCGGAUUUCCGGGCCUUUGGGAGGCGUCGGAUGUCCUAGGUGAUGACCGGAUGUCUGGGCUGUCUGGGCCACCUUUUGUGCUCCCUGGAUGGUGCCUCUGGAUGUCCGGGCUGGAGGCCGGAUUUCCGGUGAGGAGGGCCGGAUGUCCGGGCCCUGUAUCUUUUGCUGCAGAUGCCUUGCGGUGGUGCAGAUCUCCAGGGGUCGGAUGUCCGGGACCUUGGCCGGAUGUCCGGUGCCUAGAGGUUGUUCUCGCUUUCUUCUGUUGGUUCUCUUCUUUCGUGGACUUGGGGUCUUGACCAUCUUCAUGGGCAUCCUUGGGGGGGGGGGUCCUCUUGGUACCUAAUCAUGCACAACAUUCCGGACUUAGGUAGUAACCAUGUCUCAACAGGAUCAUAUGAGAUAUCACUAAGGAGAGAAGUCACCUCGGUCUCGAGAGCUCUAGCUCGUGCUCUAGUCAUGGGUCCUCUUGGUGCUUGGUGAGACGAUGGAAGGUCCAUGGGGAUGACCGAAGGAUGCUCCGCAUCAUCUCCCCCCCCCCUUGGGGAAGAUCCGGCCUCGGAUCGAAAUCCUCAUCACCAUGGUACUGGGAGAGAUCGGUGACGUUGAAGAUGUCGCUCAUGUUGUUCUUGUCGCGUGGGAGAUAGAUCUUGUAAGCGUUGUUGUUGUAGCGUGCUAGCACCUUGAAAGGUCCAUCGGCUCGAGGUAGAAGUUUGGACUUGCAUUCAUUGGGGAAGCGGUCCUUGCGAAGGUGUAGCCACACGAGAUCUCCAAUGUUGAAUAUCAUGGGUUGCUUGUUGACGUUGAGCUUGGUCGCGAGUCGUUGUACUUGGCGCUCGAUGGUGUGCCUUGUAUCUUCAUGCAUCUUCUUGAUGUAGCUCGCACGGGCACUUGCGUCUAGGUUGGUGCGCUCUUGUAGAGGAAGAGGUAGAAUGUCCAAUGGGGACAACGGGUUGAAGCCAUAGACGAACUCGAAGGGGGACUUGCCGGUAGUCGAAUUUCUUGCACGGUUGUAGGCGUACUCGGCAAUGGGUAUACACUCCUCCCACUCCUUGAUGUUCUUCUUGAUUAACACGCGAAGUAGAGUGGAGAGCGUACGGUUCGUCACCUCCGUUUGGCCGUCGGUUUGAGGAUGGUAUGCGGAUGAGAACAAGAGCUUGAUUCCGAGCUUGGCGCAUAGCGUCUUCCAAAAGUAACUGAAGAACUUGAUGUCGCGGUCAGAGACGAUUGUCUUUGGUACUCCAUGGAGUCGCAAGAUUUCCCUACAAAGGAGAUUUGCAACGUGUGAAGCAUCGUCUAUCUUGUUGCAAGGAAUGAAAUGUGCCAUCUUAGAAAAUCGGUCCACAACAACAAACACGGAAUCCUUGCCAUUUUGAGUUCUAGGAAAACCAAGUACAAAAUCCAUGCUAAUGUCUUCCCAAGGUUGAUAAGGAAUAGGAAGAGGCACGUAAAGACCAUGGGAUUGAGCUUUAGACUUAGCUUUGCGACAUGUAGAGCAUCGGUUGGUGAAGCGUGAGACAUCGCGGAACAUCUUGGGCCAAAAGUAGUUUUUGGAGAGUGUGGUGAAUGUCUUGUCACGUCCAAAAUGUCCCAUGAGUCCGCCUCCAUGAGCCUCUUGCAAAAGGAGCAAACGAAGAGAAGACUCGAGAAUGCAAAGUUUGUUAGCUCUCAUAAGAUAAUCAUCCUUUAUGUAAUAUUGUUCCCAAUAUGUAUGCAUCAAACACUUAGCAUAAGGAGUAGCAAAAGAUGGAUCAUUAGCAUACAAGUCUUUUAUGUGCUCAAAGCCAAUAGCAUUCAACUCAAGCUUAGUGACAAGCGUGCAUAUGCGUGAAAGUGCAUCCGCAACUACAUUUUCCUUACCCUUAAUGUACUUGAUUACAUAGAGGAAAGAUUCAAUAAAUUCACUCCAUUUGGCAUGACGCUUGUUCAACUUAGUUUGACCUUUUAAGUACUUAAGCGUUUCAUGAUCGGUAUGGAUGACAAACUCAUGAGGUCUAAGGUAAUGCUCCCAAACAUUUAGCACGCGCACUAAAGCAAACAAUUCUUUGUCAUAGGUGGGAUAGUUAAGUUGAGCACCGGAGAGUUUUUCACUAAAAUAAGCAAUGGCUCGUUUUUCUUGCAUUAAAACUCCUCCAAUUCCGGUACCACUUGCAUCACAAUGAACCUCAAAAGUUUUGUCAAAGUUGGGCAAAGCAAGAAUCGGAGCAUGAAUAAGCAAAGACUUGAGCUUAUCAAAAGCGGUGGAUUGCAAAGAUCCCCAAACAAAAGGAGCAUUCUUCUUACUCAAGGCAUGCAAAGGAGCGGCAAUAGUGCUAAAAUCCUUCACAAAGCGACGGUAAAAACCUGCAAGGCCAAGAAAACUACACACUUGUUGCAAAUUGGUGGGUUGGGGCCACGUUUUAAUUGCUUCAGUUUUAGAUUCAUCGACAUGGACACCCUUGGAAGAAACGACAAAACCCAAGAAAACAAGUUUGUCAACACCAAACGUGCACUUUUUCAUGUUGGCAUAAAGACAUUCCUUGCAAAGCAUUUGCAAAACAGCCCUAACAUGCUUUAGAUGCUCUUUCAUGGAUUUCUUAAACACAAUCAAAGUAAACCACAACAAACACUCCAAUAUAAGGACGAAGCACAAAAUGCAUAAGUCUCAUGAAAGUACCAGGAGCUUCCGAUAAACCCAUAGGCAUGACCAACCACUCGUACAAGCCAAAUUUGGUUUUGAAAGCGGUUUUUCACUCAUCACCUUCUUGUAUGUGGAUUUGAUAAUAGCCACUUUUAAGAUCAAUUUUUGAGAAAAAGGCGGCACUGCUAAGUUCAUCAAGCAUAUCAUCUAGGCGAGGAAUGGGAUGCCUAUAGCGAACGGUGAUAGAAUUAAUGGGUCUACAAUCAGAACACAUGCGAUAACUUCCGUCUUGCUUAGGGACAAGUAUAACCGGAAUGGCACAAGGGCUUAAGCUUUCACAUACAUGAACAUUGUCAAUUAGUUGUUGUACUUGCCGUUGGAUCUCCUUAGUUUCUUCGGGGUUGACGCGGUAUGGAGCUUUGUUUGGUAGGGGCGCUCCGGGGAUGAGGUUGAUUCGAUGCUCAAUGCCUCGUAGAGGAGGUAGACCCAGAGGUAGCUCAUCGGGGAAAACAUCUUGGAAUUCCUGCAAAAGAGAUUGAAACACUAAAGGUAGAUCGUGAAAGGUGUUAGUUUUUGGGUCCCCAUCCUUGCACACAAGGACAAAGUGCAUAACACGCGAUGGGUUCUCACAUAGUUCUCUCAUCUCACUUUUGGUGGCAAAUAGGACUAAGUUUUUCUCUCUAGGCGAAGAGGAGCUCAAGUUUGGCUUGUGGCUCUCACUCACUUUUUGGUGGAUCACUUUCUCACUCUUCUCUCCACGAUGGGUGGCUUGCUUGUCGGCUAUCACUUGACUAGGAGACAUAGGUCAUAGCACAUAUUCCUUCCCUUUCAUCUUGAAGCUAUAGUGAUUGGUACGCCCAUUGUGGAUGACCCCAUGGUCGAAUUGCCAAGGCCUACCAAGAAGGAGGUGGCAAACAGACAUCGGGACGACAUCACACUCCAAAGUGUCCUCAUAUGCACCAAUUUUGAAGGAGACUUGGAUCAUAUGCUCAACUCGUAUAGUGCCGGAGUCACUUAGCCAUUGGACUUUGUAUGGGUGCGGGUGCUUCAUCUUGACCAAUUGAAGCUUGGAGCAUAGUUCUUCACUUGCCAAGUUGUGACAACUACCUCCAUCGAUGAUGACCUUGACAGACCUUCCAUUGAUGCCGGCCUUUGUGUGGAAGAUGUGGCAUCUUUGGUCUUCUUCUUGUUGAUGUUGAAGAGUCAAAACUUUGGAGACAACGAGAGCGGGGCUCAAAUCGUCAUCACAAAAUACUUGAUCAUCUUCAUCCUCGUUCAUGCGCCGGUGCAUGGCCACUUUCUCAAGGGCUUCCAUCUCCUCGUCACUCAUGGAGUCAUAGGUUCCAUCAUUGUUGAGGAUCAUGGUGCACUUGUUUGUGCAUUCAUAGGACUUGUGGCCUCGGCCGCCGCAAGUGAAACACUUGAAGGAGCUUGUCUUGAUGGUCUCAUCGGUCGGAGUAGAGGAUGAAGCAUGCGGCUUGAAGUUGCUUGUAGUAGGAGGAAGACGACUUGCGCUUGUCAAAGUUUUCUUGUAACUUGACUUGUCGUCAUUGCUUGUAGAUGGCUUGGUUGAGGUAGAAGUUGGAGGAGUCGUUGAAGCUUGGUUGUUGGAGAAGCCGUAGGUCUUGUAUGAGUACUUGGCGUACUUGAAGUCAUCUUGCACUUGGCGUUCCGCCUUGGUAGCUUGAUGUCACGCCCAAUAUGCGAUACUAUCCUAAAGAGACUCGAAGGUCCCACCAAGGAUAGAACCGCAUAUUGAAACACUUUUGCAAGGUGGAUAUCAUUACAUCAACAUUACAUAAUAGCUAGGGAUACAUACAAAAGGCAUACAAAGCCACACGAAUACAACAUCAUCUUACAUAAGAGCACCGUCCAACUACGGAUGAAACACAAACAGAAACUCAAACGACAUCCACCCUGCUAGCCCAGGCUGCCGACCUGGAACCUAUCCCCUGAUCGAAGAAGACGCAGAAGAAGAACUCCGAAACAAGCAACAUUGCUCUCACGUCAGGAUCAUCGCAAAACCUGCACCUGCAACUGAUGUUGUAGUAAUCUGUGAGCCACGAGGACUCAGCAAUCCCAUUACCAUGGGUAUCAAGACUAGCAAAGCUUAAUGGGUAAGGAAAAGGUAAAGUGGUGAGGUUGCAGCAGCGACUAAGCAUGACAUGGUGGCUAACAUAUGCAAAUAAGAGCGAGAAGAGAAGCAAGCGGAACGGUCGUGAAGCUAGCAAUGAUCAAGAGGUGAUCCUGAACUCCUACUUACGUCAAACAUAACCCAAACAAUGUUCACUUCCCGGACUCCGCUGAAAAGAGACCAUCACGGCUACACACGUGGUUGAUGCGUUUUAAUUCGGAUCUGGUGUCAAGUUAUCUACAACCGGACAUUAACAAAUUCCCAUCUGCCACAUAACCAUGGGCACGGCUUUCGAAAGAUAAUACCCUGCAGGGGUGUCCCAACUUAGCCCAUGAUAAGCUCUCGCGAUCAACGAAGGAUAUACCUUCUCCCAGGAAGACCCGAUCAGUCUCGGAAUCCCGGUUUACAAGACAUUUCGGCAAUGGUAAAACAAGACCAGCAAAACCACCCAAUGUGCCGACAAAUCCCGAUAGGAGCUGCACAUAUCUUGUUCUCAGGGCACACCAGAUGAGCAAGACGUCGGGUUGGCAUAGACCCUGGUUGCCCAGGGGGCGCCGGACAUCGCUCAGGUUGGACCAACACUCGGAGGAGCACGGGCCCGGGGGGGUAAAAUAAAGAUGACCCUCGGGCUCUAGAAACCCAAGGGAAAAAGGGCUAGGUGAGGCAAAUGGUAAAACCAAGGUUGGGCCUUGCUGGAGGAGUUUUAUUCAAAGCGAACUGUCAAGGGGGUCCCAUAAAUCACCCAACCGCGUAAGGAACGCAAAAUCCGGGAACAUAACACCGGUAUGACGGAAACUAGGGCGGCAAGAGUGGAACAAAACACCAGGCAUAAGGCCGAGUCUUCCACCCUUUACCAAGUAUAUAGAUGCAUUAAUUAAAUAAGAGAUAUUGUGAUAUCCCAACAUAAUCCUGUCCACCAUGGAGCAAUCUUCAACUUCACCUGCAACUAACAACGUUAUAAGAGGGGCUGAGCAAAGCGGUAACAUAGCCAAGCAACGGUUUGCUAGGAAGGGUAAAAAGGUUAGAGGCUGACAUGGCAAUUUGGGAGGCUUGAAGAGCAAAUGAUAGGUAGCGCAGCAUAGCGAUAGAACGAAGCAACUAGCAUAGCAAUGAUAGUAAUGAGAUCCAAGGUGACGGUCAUCUUGCCUGAAAUCCCGCAAGAAAGAAUAACGAGUCCAUGAAGAAGAUGAAGCCACGAAGACGAACCAAGCGUAGACGAAUGAAUCCUCACGAUCGCAACGAAACGGGAACUAUCGAGAAGAAGCACACAACAUGGUAAACACACCACACAUGAACAAGGCAUGAUGCACAAACAAGCAUGAUGCAUGACAAGACUACAUGAAGCUACUCAUGGCAAGAGAUGAUGCAAACAAGAACAACACAUCAAGGCAAGUUUAAAUGAGGCCGGGAACAACAUAUAACAAUUCCGGUAAGUCCUCACAUGCAAAUUUCGAAAUUGGUCCAGAUCUGAAUAAACCUUAUAUUCAAGUUGUUAAACAGCAAGUUAAGAUGCACCAAGAUGACCUACACGAGAUUCUAGUCAAGUUACAUAUAAAAUUCAUUUAAUUCGGAGCUACGGUCUAGAAGAUAUGAGUAAAACAAGUUAAACAUGGCAUUGAUGCAAAAUGCAUACAACCAUCAAGCAAACACACCAAAACAAGGAUGCAACAUGAUAAUAUGAAACUACAUGCAAAAACAAGCAAGUUUCAUAUAGAGCACACUCAAAAAGGAGCAACGGUUCAACACACACACAUGAAACAACUUAUAAUAACAAUCUGACCAAAACAGCGACUAGGCAUAUUGCAAGCAUCAAAACAACAUGCUACAGUACCACAAUAUGAAAAAAAAGACAUGGACAUGAUGUACAGGUAAAGCAUAACAAAACAUGAACACUGAGCUAUCUCCAGAAAUCACUAGAACAUGCUCAAAACACAUGGCAAGAUUGCAAAUAAUAACAGUUUCAGACUUAUCAGGAAAUAACAUCAGGUUGCAAUGUUUAGAGCUAUCAAACAACAUGCUACAGGAACUUAUCAUGGCAAUCAAACGCAUGGCAUGCUACUACUAAAUACAUAGAACAAAAGUCCCUUACUGACCAUGAGCCAAAAGGGCACAGAAAAUAUGAUGGUACCCAUGUAAACAUAGCAAGUAAUAUGACAGAUUCAAACAUGCAGGAACAACGAUAAGUAGCCAUGUUGGUGAGCUUGUACCACUCAUCACAGAGCAAUAUAUGGCAUGACAAGGUGACCAACAGUAAGAAUACAUGUUUAUGAAGCUAAGCAUGGCAAGAGCAAGUUCAUAGCAUGCUUGGAUAACUAACAACAAUCAUGGUAACAUUGAACUUAAAGUUAACAGGCUGACAGCAACAAUAUUUAGCAAUUUGAGAGCAAGAUAACAACAAGCUAAAGCAGGCUAUAAAUGCAACCAGGGGCAUGAAUGGAUAUAGCAUGACAUGUAUAACAAACCAUCCUUAGUGAACAUCUCCAGAUUAUGCAUAGAAUGACUUGUAGCAGCAGGUUUACAUAGCAUCCCGAAAUAACAGAUUCAACCUAGCAAAACAGUAACAGCAAGUACCCUACUUAACAAGCUCGAUGCACUCACUACAAGAAUCACAAAAAUACAUGGAUAGCACCUAUGUAAAGAUGGCAUGUCAUAGAUCAAAACUCAUGUAGGACUCAUGCUCAAAGGAUGCACACAUCAAAUGCAACAAAAAUGACAAAUCAUCAAGUUAUAAAAGUUUCAGCAGAUUAACAUCAUAUAGCACUCUUGCAACAAUGAUUCAGGCAUCAAUAUGGACUCAAAUGAACAUGAUGCAAUGGAAUGAAAUGAAGUACUCGUCAAGACGAACAAUUUGACAUGCUACACGCCCAAAACGGGGCCACGGAUGCGGAGUUAUGAUGCGAUGAACAGGAGCUAAAAAUAUGCAAAUGCUUAGGGACUUCGGGAAAAUAAACGGGGUCAACCUCAGGAUUUUCCAGAUCUGGCGUGCGCGUGGACCGAGGUGGCCGGAGGAGCUCACCGGAGAUGCUCCGUAGGGCAGGGGAGGCCGGAUCCGGCGCGGAGGGGGAGGAGGUCACCGGCGAGGGAGGCACGCGGCCUCGGGAGGCGCGGCCCCGCGGCGGCGCUCCAAGGGGCGGCGACGGCNNNNNNNNNNNNNNNNNNNNNNNNNNNNNNNNNNNNNNNNNNNNNNNNNNNNNNNNNNNNNNNNNNNNNNNNNNNNNNNNNNNNNNNNNNNNNNNNNNNNNNNNNNNNNNNNNNNNNNNNNNNNNNNNNNNNNNNNNNNNNNNNNNNNNNNNNNNNNNNNNNNNNNNNNNNNNNNNNNNNNNNNNNNNNNNNNNNNNNNNNNNNNNNNNNNNNNNNNNNNNNNNNNNNNNNNNNNNNNNNNNNNNNNNNNNNNNNNNNNNNNNNNNNNNNNNNNNNNNNNNNNNNNNNNNNNNNNNNNNNNNNNNNNNNNNNNNNNNNNNNNNNNNNNNNNNNNNNNNNNNNNNNNNNNNNNNNNNNNNNNNNNNNNNNNNNNNNNNNNNNNNNNNNNNNNNNNNNNNNNNNNNNNNNNNNNNNGCGAGCGGCAGCGCUCCGGCGAUGCGAAGAGGCGCGGGAAGGCACGGGGCAUGCGGCCCGGUGUGGCCCGGGCGGGCCGCGGCGGCGCAGGGAGGAGAGAGGGGGCGCGGCGGCUGACUUGGCGCGCUCCGGUUGGCCGGGAGCGGCGGCACGAUGACAUGGCGGUGGCUGAUUCGCCGGGGUGAGGUGGAGGCUGGACGUGUCCGGCGGGAUUGGACAUGUCCGGCGGCGGGAGGAGUUUGGCUAGGGUUUGGACUGCGCGAAAAUUCAGGGAGGGGCACAUAUUUAUAGGUAGAGGGAGCUAGGAGAGUCCAAAUGGGGUGCGGUUUUCGCCCACACGAUCGUGAUCGAAUGACCAAGAGCAUGGAGGGGGUUUGGAUGGGUUUUGGGCCACUUUGGAGGGGUGUUGGGCUGCGCACAGAAGAGGCCUUAACGGUUACCCGGUUAACCGUUGGAGUACCAAACGACCUCCAAAUGACACGAAACUUGACAGGCGGUCUACCGGUACUAUACCAAGGCCGCUUGGCAAACCUUGGGCCAUUCCGAGAAAGUUUAACACCCACUCACAACAAGAGACAAAAGGGGGACGCCGGAGGACAUAGGAGUGUCGGAUUACAAAACGGGCAACAGGGAAAAUGCUCGGAUGCAUGAGAUGAACACGUAAGCAAAAUGAAAUGCACAUGAUGACAUGGCAAUAUGCAACACGCAAGAAAAUGACAUGGCAAUGACGGCGAAUAACUGGCAGACAUCUGGCGCAUCGAAUCCGGGGCGUUACACUUGAUGCACGAGCUCAAUGAGGUUGGAGUAGGGUUGGAAGUCGGCAAUCUUCUUGAUGGGAUGAUUGAGUCCAUUCAAGAAACGUUCCAUAGUUUGCUCAUCAUCUUCCGUGACAUUGGCUCGAAUCAUGGCUAUCUUCAUUUCCUUGUAGUAUUCUUCAACACUCUUUGUUCCUUGCUUGAGGAGUUGGAGUUUCUUGAAGAGAUCGCGGUUGUAGUAUGUGGGCACAAAACGUGCUCGCAUGACUUCCUUCAUUUGAGCCCAAGUGGUGAUUGGUGGUUCACCUCUUGUUUCAUGGCGCUCAAGGACUUGUUACCACCAUAUGAGCACAUAGUCUUGGAACUCAAGUGAUGCCAUAGCGAUCUUCUUCUCUUCCUCAUAGUUGUGCAAACGAAAGAUUUUGUUGACCUUCAAUGCCCAUCAGAGGUAUUAUUUGGGAUCAUUGCUUCCGUUGAACUUGGGCAUGGUGAAUUUUAGCUUGUCGUAGCGUUGCUCUUCAUUGUGUUGUUGGCGAUGGUGAUGAUGACGCCCUUGGCAUGGAGGAUAAUCAUCCUCAUGUUGCUCUUGGCGUGGAGGAAGUCCAUGAUCAACUUGCUCUUGUUGAACUUGAGGUUGUGGAGGAGCUUGAGGAACUUGACAUUACACGCGGUUGGUAAUUCCGCUCUUGGAUUUCUUCUUGAAGUGCUUCCUCUUGAUUGCGCUGAUCUCGGUUGCGGUUGGCAAUGGCUCGGCUUGAUUCUUGAAGGGCACGUUGCGCCUCAAGAGCUUGUGCUUCCUGUUGUUGUUGUUGAAGACGUUGAGCCUCGGCAUCUUGUUCCUCUUGAUGUAGACGUGCUCGUUCUUCCUCUUGGCGACGUAGACGUUGUCGUUCUUGAGCUUGAGCAAAUGCAACUUGGUGUGGUUGAGGACAAAGUACUUGCUCAUCGACUUGCUCUUGUGAAUGCUUGUCGUGUAGAGGAUUGCGAGAUGCAUGACGGUCUUGACGCGCUGCUCGGCGAAGAGUGUUCGAUGUCGGUGUACUUGAGCCGGAGAAGGUGUCGUCGGAGUGUCGACUUGAGCGUCUUCAUCUUGAGUACGAAGAAGUAGAAGGAGGACGGUUCACUAACAAGGCGCGGAUUUCGUCCAUCCUUGCAUCAUUCUCUUGCUUGUGAGCGUCGAGCUGGUUGUCGAAGUAGUCCUUGGUACGUUGCUCGGAGAGUCGCAAAUCGGUGGCGAGGUUGUCGAUGUGGUCGGUCAUAGCUUGUUGCUCUUGAUGCAACGCUCGUUGUGCACCAAAGAGGUGGCUCUUGGUGAUGAAUGAUGACAUGUCGUCGUCUUGCUCGAUGAAGAGUGGGUUGGUAGAAGUACUCGGCCUAUCCAUCAUUCCAAGCAAAAUGUGAGUGGGAGAAGGAGAAGAACUUAUACCAAUGUACCUUGACUGUUGACGAUGAAUCAAGUUCACUCAAAUGCGAACAAUGAAAUAGCACUAUUGGUACCAAUUCUUGUCGGUUCUCACACCUACACAAGUAAAAGCUUAUGGUGGAGCUUGGUUAUGAUGGUGGCACAAAAUUUAAUGCAAUUGUAAGUGAGCUUCAAUAAUGUUGGAAAAGAUUCACAAAUUUUCAAAUGCAACAAGUAGACCAAGCAAGUAGUGGUACACGGAAGCACACACGCAAAUAGAUAAGUGGGAUUGUGCAAACCAAAAGUGAGCCAAAAUGUGGAAACCACGAAAAUGCUCUUGUUGCACAAUACGCGAGAGACGCUAGCACGAUUGCACGAUAGGCGGAUACGGAACUUGUGCACAACCUACUAGGAAAAAAUGCAAUGACCUCUAUCCCAAGUAUGCUAUGGUGUUUCGGUGCUAUGAUCCAAGAUGAUCGGGUAUGACAAUCUUAAUGUAGUAUGAUGCUAUGGUUCUUGCUUAUAAGCUCUUUGCUUAUCUUUCCUCUUUGCUUAAAAGCUUGGUUGGCUCUUUCACUUUUGAGCUCUUUUCUCAUGCAAAACUUCACGAACCAAGAUAUCAAUUGUGUAUGCGAUGAUAACUUUGUGACACACAAAAUGAUGCCAAGAUAUGCACCACGAUGGUAUGGUAUGUAUGUUAUGGAGUAUGAUCACUAAUGUGCACAAGUCACGUUGCCGGCAAUACUCAAUGGCUAGUCUCGAUGGGUAAGCUAUGCAAAUGUAAGGCCAAGUGGGUAUCAAUGCAAUUGCAAGGUAUGACAAAGAUGCCGUCGAAGUUACCGUCCUUGGCGGUGAUGAGUAGUCGAUGGAGAUGAGCGGUGGUGUUGAUGACGUUGAACCGUACCUAUAUAGCCGAAACACAAUAGGACACGGGAACCACACCCAAAAUCUCAACGACCAAAACGUGUCAAAAUCGUCAUAGGAGGUAGCAGUGAGAGGUGGUGGUGCUUGUGGAAAGCGGUGGUGGUAAGCGGAAGUAAGCGUGGGCACCGGGGCUAAAUUGGGCAAAACUAGGCGGAAAAGGGCGCGGGGGAUGGAGUUGCAGCUGCCAGGGGCCGGAUGUCCAGGCCAGCUGCCGGAUGUCCGGGACGCCGGAUGUCCGGGGGACUCGGGCGGAUGUCCGGGCUCCUGGAUCGGGGACGAACACGAUGAACUCCACAGGAGAAAGGGCAACUCCGAGGCAAAAUUUGGACGAAUUUGUGGGUGGAAAUUGCGGGAGAGGUGGGGAAAAGCUAGAUCCACUCGAUGCAAAGCAGAUCCGUGGAUCAAAUCCAACAAAACUUCAACACACCAACAAAUCACAAAAAAAAAUUGGGGCUAUUUUUGGUGGGGAUUUUCGGAAUUAGGACGAAAACAACAAAAUCAAGCUAGAAAACACGGGGUAGGGGCUCCACAAACGUGAUCAAUGUGGCUCAUGAUACCAAGAUGAUGUAGGGCGGAACCCUAUGGGGCCGAUCUUUCACAUUUGGAGAGGAUCCUAUGGGGAAUAUGAAGAACGCGCAGAAGAACACGAGGGAAAACACGAGGGGAAACAAGAGAAACACUCAAGCGACACGAAACUGAUCACACAAGUGCUAGGUCAUCGAGGGCACAAAGUAACACGAGAUCCAAAGUCAACAAGGGACGAUACAAGAGUAAUCGUUCUUCUCCAUGAGGAGGUCUUGAUUGUCUUCUCCGGAUGGAGGCUUUGAAUCUGGAUGGAUCUUCUCCGAAGAGGUGCGGUCCCUCAUGAGGAGUAGAUCCGGUACGGAUGAGCAAUGCUCUAUCUCAAAUGAGCUAACCCAAUGCUAACCCUAAAACGUAGGAGGAGAUGGAGUAUAUAUAGUCCUCGGCCCUUACACUGUUCGUAGACAGGGAAGGCCGGAUGUCCGGCUGAAGGGCCGGAUGUCCAAGCUGGUGUAGACGGCCGUGCUGCUCUCUGGAUGGGCGGCGCCGGAUGUCCGGGCGGAGUGGCCGGAUGUCCGGGGCUUCGGGAGGCAUCGGAUGUCCUGGGUGAUGACCGGAUGUCCGGGCUGUCUGGGCCACCUUCUAUGCUCCCUGGAUGGUGCCUCCGGAUGUCCGGGCUGGAGGCCGGAUUUCCGGUGAGGAGGGACGGAUGUCCGGGCUGAACGCUGGAUGUCCGGGCCCUGUAGCUUCUGCUGCAGAUGCCUUGCGGUGGUGCAGAUCUCCAGGGGCCGGAUGUCCGGGACCUUGGCCGGAUGUCUGGUGCCUGGAGGUUGUUCUCACCUUCUUUCGUUGGUUCUCUUCUUCCGUGGACUUGGGGUCUUGANNNNNNNNNNNNNNNNNNNNNNNNNNNNNNNNNNNNNNNNNNNNNNNNNNNNNNNNNNNNNNNNNNNNNNNNNNNNNNNNNNNNNNNNNNNNNNNNNNNNNNNNNNNNNNNNNNNNNNNNNNNNNNNNNNNNNNNNNNNNNNNNNNNNNNNNNNNNNNNNNNNNNNNNNNNNNNNNNNNNNNNNNNNNNNNNNNNNNNNNNNNNNNNNNNNNNNNNNNNNNNNNNNNNNNNNNNNNNNNNNNNNNNNNNNNNNNNNNNNNNNNNNNNNNNNNNNNNNNNNNNNNNNNNNNNNNNNNNNNNNNNNNNNNNNNNNNNNNNNNNNNNNNNNNNNNNNNNNNNNNNNNNNNNNNNNNNNNNNNNNNNNNNAUUCCGGACUUAGGUAGUAACCAUGUCUCAACAGGAUCAUAUGAGAUAUCACUAAGGAGAGAAGUCACCUCAGUCUCGAGAGCUCUAGCUCGUGCUCUAGUCAUGGGUCCUCUUGGUUCUUGGUGAGACGAUGGAAGGUCCAUGGGGAUGACCGAAGGAUGCUCUGCAUCACGCGUUUAGUCUGCCAAGGGUGCAAACAAGUUGACGCCGUAGUGGGAAGGCCCUUACCUGGUAGUACGUGUCACCAGACCUGGCGUAGUCCGUCUAUAGACCGAGGAUGGCAUCCCAAUGCAAAACUCAUGGAAUAUGGAGCAUCUUCACAAGUUCUACCCGUAAGGCACGAUUGUCGGGCCUUGCCCCAGCAACCUGUUUUGUACAAGCAUAGUCCCGGGGACUUGUAACCCUUUGUACAAUUCCAGGCGCAUGCCCUGUGCAUAACUGAAUAAAGCAAAGUGUUUUCACAAAACUUGCAUGCAUGAUUUCUUGUUUGCUUAAGUAUGACCUUGUUGUGAUUACGCUGGUCCUUUAGAUAAGAUAACUGACAUGCUGUAGAGGGCUUUGUGCUACCAUUCUUCCUUUUUCCGGCAAUAAUAGAAGGAUUCCUCACGAGCAAUUUCUCGGGAGGAGGACCAGCCCGUGUGUUCAGUCCUGGCGACUCCUGUAUAGAACAAUAAGAAGAAGAGCAAAGAGAGAUAAGUUCACUUAGUUACAUCCUACCGUUCCAUGUUAUGCUUAUGUAUGAGAAACUUGCACGCAAGGAAAUCUUUGCCAUAUCUACCAGUCGUGCUCCUAUUCUUGAUUCGAGUCCACUCGAAAAGCUUAGUCGUAGCUGCAUUUGAGGAGAUCGACAAAGGACCAGCCUUUAGUCGCGCUCCUAACCCAUUUUGGGAGCUCACCAAACGAGGUUCGACAGCGGCUGCGUUAAAGGCCGGCCAGAGGCUUUGCCGGAAACUUCUUUUACAAAAGAAUAUUGAAGGCUUAUCCUUCGAUAUGUCUAAGUACAUAUGCAAGUAUCCGGCAAACUUCUUUUCCGAAUUGCGUGAACAAACAAGUACAAAUCAUAUGAGUAUCAACUUGGAUGAAGGAUUACAUAGAUUUGAUUCAAACUUGGCGAGUGCCUUUUUUGAUCUAAAAAGGUAAGUGCUCCGUAAUGCCUUUCUUUUCCCUCUCCUCUUAGGUUUUGCAUUGAGGAGGAAGGAGGGGAAAGGAGUGCCUGGGCAGAAGCCCAGCCUGACCCCAUCAGGAUCAGAGGGACGCAGCCCGACAAGAUCGGGAGAGCACCUCUUCGAUAAGGAGACGAAGCCAGAAGGGCGGAAGGAGCGGCUAGGCAAUGCCCUGGUCACCCCCGCCAGGACCAGAAGGACGCGGCUCCAGCAGGAAUACCGGUAGGGAAGAUGAAGCCAGAGUCCCUGAGGAAGCCUGCCGGGGUCCAGCUGGAGGAGGCGGAGACAUCCAUAUCCAGCACCCCCGGCAAAUCGCUAUGCCGGGGGAGGGCCUGGUGCAGAUGAUGGUGUUGCCGAUGCCUAGCUGACGGUGAUGGUGCGUCCGACGCUCAGCUAAAGUCCGGAUUGUCGCCUUCGUGCUUGACGACCCGGGGCUCGUUGUCGUCGUCCUCUCCACAGGUCUCCUCCUUGUCGCUAUCGCUCGAGGAGGAGCUUUCGUCAUCGCUCGAGCUUUCCAUACAGCAUCCAAGGCGAGCUCCUGAAUGCCCAAAGACCUUGAUGGAGAGCAGAUCAGCCUCCACCAACUUGAGGGAGAGAACAUGCCCCGCUGCAAGGGAGUGGGCGUGGGCGAAGGUCUUCCACCCGCGCCCAAGGAGCAUGGCGUGUGGCAUGGGGAACUCGACAUCCACCCACGCCUCGCCAUUGCGGCAGCCACUCAUGCGCAACCGCAGCCCAGGUGGCUGGUCAACCUCCAUCACCAUGGUGAAAGGACGAGGGAGUCGCAGGCGGUUAUGUGGAGGAUAACGCAGCUUGACAAUGAACUCCAACGUCGUAUCCCCAGCGUGGCCUUCUGUCAGUGUUGGAGCAGUAGAAGAAGAUGCGGCGAGCGCGUCGCUCCGUCCACCUCGACCACGGGCGCUGCGUCGACCCCGUCCGCGCCCCUCGGCUUCACCUUGUGCACUGGAUCCAGCCCCUGCCGCAGCAGUUGGGACAGGAACAUGGCGCCGAGGAGGAGUUCUCGUCGCCACUGAUGAGGCACAAGGGCGACCUCUUCCCCUCGCCAUAGUGGAAGCAGAGGUAUGGUAGGAGAAGAAGGAGAUGGUGGAUGAGCAUCGCUAGCCUCACACGCCUCCUUUUAUAAUGGAGUGGGGAAGGGCUGGCUCUCCUCUACUCUGGGGUAACCGCCCCACUUCCCCAAUUCAGCCCUCUGCAUUUCUAAUGGCGUCUUGAUUCAUCAGUCGCCCCACUACUCCAAUCCAAGGCGAUGUGCAUUCUGCCAAGGCACACGUUCCCAUGCCUCGCGCGUCUGUCACCAACCCCGCACAAUGCAUGCAGCGCGCGUGGCGGAAACGACAGGCGUAGUGGGUAGAGGGAAAGAUAAAAUGGCAGUUACCCCAGAUCAUGUGCGGGCGUCCUAAUGGUUUCCCGUGGGCGUGGGUGUCUCUUCGUGAGAAUCCUAGGGAAUGGCCCUGAUUCAGACCAAUGAAGAAGCAAAGAAAAUCUCAAAAGAUACUAUAUCCACUUCGGCAAGUUCAACACGAGCGCCUGCGUGUUUGUUGGGCCUACUCCAACAAUGCCCAGCGACAUGUACGAACCAGACCCGGGGGCUCCUGUCUGUGCAACAAACAUGUAUGUUUGCUACCCUGACAUCAACAUUAGACACAGAAUGAAGCUAGAGAAGCCACUCUUCGUGAGAUAAAGGAGCGCAUUAAGAAGACCAAGCCAACCCAAAGGUUCACAGGAAAGCCUCCCUUGCCGGACAAGCAGGCCAGUGGGGUCGAGGCCACACCUGGGACCAAGGCCAGGCCACCCGGCAGGAUUUCCGGGGCCGCCAGGGCCAAGGCCAAAACCCAAGCCAGAAGACCCGGCAGGCACCAUGCCGGCAAACCUCCACCGCUCCACCUCAUCAGAUCACUAGUCACUAAUCAGUGCGGUGUCAAGCUCUCGAGCGGCUAGGUGGAUCCUGUCAAGCACGUGGCGGCCCGCUGGAGGAAGAAUGACCUUUAAUGACACUCGUGCCAAAGGCAUGUCACGCAGAUACGAGGUAGCCAGGCAAGCGAUGGAGAAACCUUGUCAGGGUUACCCCUCCACACGACACCUAGUAAGUGCAUUUAAUGCUCCUUGUCCUAACUGCCAGAGUUAGGUAUGAUAACACUGCCAGCUAUCUAAUCAUGCUAUAAUGACCGUUUUGCCACUGUGGUCGCCCCUUAAGCUAUAAAAAGAGGCCCGAGGCAACCUAGCAAAGGGUUCGAAUCUUUGAUCCUGCAACACUUGUAUGAGCAUAGCUGCUCUCCCGAAGGCACCCUUGCCGGGCGUGUCUUCGUGUUCCUCCAGAUCAAUCCACCAAAGCAGGAGUAGGGUGUUACGUCGCAAAGCGGCCUGAACCUGGGUAAAAGAGAGUUGUGAGUCCCGUGUUGCCUUGCUGCCUCACCUCUUUGUGCAAUGCGGUCGUCCCUCGCCAAACUACAAAGGGGCCUCUCAGUCCCAUAGGUGAUCGUGGUCUGCCACGACAAAUUCCUUCUCCCAACACAAAUUGUCGAGUUCACCAUUCUCUAGAUGAAGUCUCGCUAGAAGAACUAGGAUCAUCUACAUUCUUCCCACGUGAACUAACUCGUCUUCCUUCUCCGACAAAUUUGCCAUGACUAACGGUCUCCCCGUCACUGCAUCCAACCCCUUGCUACCUCGCCUUCAAAGUGGUUGCAGGCAACGAGGGAACCAUUGAUCCCAACGGAGAGGUCGUACUCGGUGAACGCACAGCGGGCAACCACCAAAAGACUUGGGAACCCUAGGGGUGUGUGUGGGGGGGGUGUAAGCAGAACGCCUCAAUGAAUGGCAGUGGUGGUUGAUUCAAGAUAAAACUAUGGUCUAAUGGACUUGCUUGGCAGAGCUGACGAUCUGAUUGUAGUUCUAUGAUUCGAGAGAUAAUUGCAUCUAUAGUCCUCGUACUCGCUGGCUACGUCCACUUCAGUCCUGGUACUUGCGUAUUGCAUCGAUACGGUCCCGGUACAUGAAAAUACGUCGUCAAUACGGUCCCUGAGCUUGAAACGCCAGUCCUGGCUCUACACGUGCACGACGUACACCGUACUCCGCUGUAUGCCACGUCAGCCAGGGACCCACCAGUCAGCUCGGACCCACCCGUGGGAGUGGAUAAGGCUGUAGCCGUUUCGUCCUGGGGCAAAAAAUCCCCAAUUCCGCUCCCGCAAUCCCUAGCAUCUCGUCACCCAAAUCCUCCGAUGGGCGGCGCGAGCGUCACCUCCACCACCCUGUCUGGCGGUUCGGAGAGCGAAGACGGCGGCACCUUCUCUGCGGCGCUCGUCCCCGGAGGUGGAUCGAGUCGCAGCUUGCUGGCGCGGGCUUAUCCGCAGGAGAUUUGGCGUCGGGGCGAGCCUUGUCUCCGGCCGGAGAGAAGCCAUGUCAUGCUAACGCGCACUCCAUCCAUGGAUGCGUUUGAGGCUCGCCACCGCGGGCUCGUCCUACUGGCCACUGCUGUAGGAGACGGCGAGGAGGCUCUGACGCCGGCCGCACUGCUGGCCGCCAUCCAGGAGCGCUUUGGCGUGCUGCCGUCGGAGUUGAGCAUCGAGGUGGCCUGCCCCCCUCAUGACCUGUGGCUGUUGUUCUCAACGGAGGAGAAGUGCACGGUGGUGCUCCAAUCGUCGAUGAAGUUGAGGUGCUGCCGCCGGUGGAUCAAGUUUGAGCGCUGGGUAAGAGAGAUUCGCGGCACUCCGGCUGCUCUGGAGUACAAGUGCAAGCUUAGUUUCGAAGGCCUUCCCGAUCAGGCGUGGUCGAAGCAGUCAGUGAAAGGCCUGCUGAAGGACUUGGGCGGAGAGCUGAUAGAGAUCAUACCGCCGAAGAAUCGGCGCGAGCUGGAGGUAAUGGCGUGGCUCCGUGACCCAUCUAAAGUUGGCAAAGUGGUGGACGUGGAGAUACCCGAGCCUAUGCUGGCAUUGUGCACAGAUCCUCCUCCACAGUCGCUUGAAGAGUUCGUCGACCGUGAAAUGGCCUCGUCCUACGGUCCUUCGUCGCCGAGGAAGAAGAAGACUCUGUUGUAUCCUGUGAUCUGUCACAUGAAGGAGGUGACUGAUCGUGGUCCGCUGCUCGUCGAAGGCCUGCCUGAUGCAUGGCUGCCGAAUGAAGGGGAGGACCUGACUCGCAAGCACCGAUUCAGCACUGUGCUUGGACAAAUCGAUGGCAGUAUCUGUGAUUUCUAAGGUGUAAAGGAGUCUGAACCACUAUGUAUGUCUCAAAUGUAGUCUGUGAACCACUAUCUAUUUUAAGUGUGUCUUUUGUGAACUUGGUAUCUAAUAUUCAGUAAUUGUGAGACUAUGUAAGACUAUCUAUGUAUUGUUGAGAUGAUCUUCUAAUAUUGUACCUGUUGUGUCAUUAUGUGUUGUGUGAAAUAUUAUGUGCUUUGUCAAAAUGUGUUGUAUCUUACAAGUACAUUACAUACAAAAAGUUACUCAUCUGGAGCAUGAUCAUGAACACAAUCUGCAUACAUAAGCUGGAGUACAGAAUCUGCAUAUAUAAGGUGGAGUACAUUCCAUACUAAAAGUUACUGAUCUGGUGGUAACAACACAAAAUACAUGAUCUGGAGCAUGAUCAUAAGUAGAACACACAAAAAAACCAUCUACUUUCCUCGAGCUUGACCUGCAUGUCUCCUGUCCUACCUUAGUUCAUCGAACAUGCUAACUUUUCUAGGUUUUUUAAAUCCUCUCAUGUUGUUACUUGAACUUGGUGCACUUGAAGUUCCACUUCUCUUCAUUUGUGAUGGUUUGGACUGACAUGCAAGCAUCCUAUGUUCCUCUGCCAUUGCUUCUCUGAUUUGUUGGGCUUCCUUCUUGUUUCUCUCUUGCACACAUGCCUCAAAUCUUGUUUCUUCCUCUUGGUUUCUGUUGUGCUCCCAAGCUUCCUGCCUUGAUGCCUCCUGUGUUUGGAGAAAUAAUUGCCUUCUUUCCAACUCUUCAGCUUGAUUUAUAAGGAACAUUGCCUCCUCUGCAUCAUAUCACAGAAUUAUUUGACAACUCUUUAACUGCCUUUAUUAAACCCUGCAUGAAACAUAUCACAGAAUUAUUUGACAUAAACAUAACUCUUUAUUUGACAGAAGCAUAGCACAGAAUUAUUUGACAGAAAUAUAGCACACAAUAAGUAUUUGACAGAAUUAAAGACAUACUUUUUGCUUGUCUGACAUGAUUGUCCAUAACUCAGUGUUCACAAUUCCUAAAUCUUGCUUCAAUGCAGUUAGAAACCACCUCCAAGCUUUGGUGUCCUCACUCUGCAGCACUGCAUGUGCAAUAGGAAUAAUGCAAUCAUUGGGGUCCAUUCCUACUGCACUUAACAGAACACCUCCAUACUGUGUCUUUAAGUGGCAACCAUCUAGGAAAAUGAUUGGCCUACAAGCACAUAAGAACCCCCUCUUGCAUGCAUCAAAAGAGAAGUAGCACUUCUGAAAUUGUCCCUCUUCUGACAGUCCAAGAAGGAAAGUACUUCCAGGGUUUGAUCUCCUCAGCUCAUUUGCAUAGUCCCAUAGCAAGUUGUAUUGUGCAAUCUCAUCUCCAUAUAUGAUAUCAUAUGCAAUCUUCCUAGCUCUCCCCAGCUUGCCCCUUUUAAUUGUCAUGUUCCAAUCAUCUUGCACAAAAGCUGCAAAAGCCUUCAAUGAUAAUUUCUCACGUGCCCUGAUUUUGUCCACAUAUUUGUGAGCAAUGUACCUAGCUGUAAAGGCUGUAACUUGCCACUUUUUCUCACAAGUAUGUUCCCCAUUAAAUGUUUUCACCAUGACAGAAUUUGUUCUAUUAUCCCAAGAUGCAUACAUAUACCAGGGGCAACCCUUCUCACACUUUGCAGCAAGCCUGAUUUUGUCAUUCUUUGGAAAUGUGAUGUUAACUCUCUCUUUGCAACUAUACUCUCUCACAGCUUUCCUCAACAGCUCCACAGAAGAGAACAACUGCCCUGCAUGGAACUUAGGUUCUUGCAUGCCUGCUGCUGUGAAAGACUUGAAAUUGAAUUUCAUCUCAUCCUCAUCUGAAUCUGGAGCAUUUAAUUCCUCAUCUUCUGAGUUGCAAUCCUCAACCACCUUCUUCCCUUUCUUGUCAUGCAUUGGUUGCAACUCCUCCUGUAACAGAUCAUCAUCUCCAUCCUCCAAGUCAUAGUCACUAUCCACAAUCUCAGGUACAUAAUCACUGUCUGAGGAAUCUGAGUCUGCAUAUUGUUCUUCCUCCUCUUCUGUUUUUCUUCCCCUUGGUCUCAACUUCACAUAUAACUGUUGAGUGCUCUCAAUUUCAACACUUUCAUCCACAACACCACAAGAAACAUUGCUCUCACAGGGAUCUUUGUUCUCAGUUGCAUUCAUUUCCUUCUUCCUUGGGCUGAAAACAGGAGGGAUUUGUGCUGCUGGAUUAGCCACAACAUCAUCCCAUUCUGCUCCUCCUCCAGAAAUGUGGCUAUCUAAAUGAUCCAGGUAUAUCAUUUGAAAGUGGUGCCCUAGAUUUAUCUUUAGAUACAUACAGUCCACAUCAGUAUCAUUAGCCAAAAGCCGUGCAGCACCUUCAUUUAGCUGACAACCAGGGGGCAACCAAUAGAUAUCUAUUCUACCUGACAUUUCAUAACCCAAUUCCUCGACUAUUUCUUCAAACAUGCUGAAAUAGGUGAUGUCCUUAUGACAGUAAUCAAAGCAAACCUUAUGGCCAUCCAGAUAGCACCUAUUCUGCCCACUCCCAAAGAAAAAGCCUCCAUGGAUCACCUCAACAGUGAAAUAUCCACUUUCUCUAUCUGAAAAACAAUAAGAACAUCAAUUAUUUCAGAUAACUGAACAUUAAGAACAUAAAUAACUCAAACCCUAGAAUAAUUUCUGCAAAUUUGCAUACAGUCCACAUAUUCAUAGAACUAGCAUGGGCAAAACGGCCUAAUCACAGCAAAUAAACAUUUUUUCACCCCAAUUGUACAUCAAAUCGACCCAAGAACACUGGGUACUGACGUACCGUACGCCGGAGCCACCUCGCCGUCGGGCCGCCGUCGCCGGACCUGCAUCGCCGCCAAACUGCGUCGACUCCUUUCACCGGGCGUCCAACUUGCUUCAGCCGCCGCACGCAAUACGAACAGAGGGCGCACGAUACGCCGAUCAUCCGCCGCCGCACACCAUGGCCGCUAGGGUUGCUCUCUGCUCGCACUCCUCUGUUUAUCAUGGGGGGGGGGGAGAACAGGGGAGAUCGAGACGAGAACAGGGGGCAAUUUGCGAAAUAAUAGGUGGGGCUAGAGCUGACUGGUGGGUCCGAGCUGACUGGUGGGUCCCUGGCUGACGUGGCAUACAGCGGAGUACGGUGUACGUUGUGCACGUGUAGAGUCAGGACUGGCGUUUCAAGCUCAGGGACCGUAUUGACGACGUAUUUUCAUGUACCGGGACCGUAUCGAUGCAAUACGCAAGUACCAGGACUGAAGUGGACGUAGCCAGCAAGUACGAGGACUAUAGAUGCAAUUAUCUCAUGAUUCGACCAGCGAGUGUCCCCAUUCGGCUGAACAUAUUCAUCAUGAACAAAUUACUCACGAAAUCAAUAGUGUGCAGCAGGAGAAAAUGCCAAAACGCAUGCAAGAGAUCAUAUCGUCGUGGCUGACACAGUGUAGGUUUGUAGAGCAAAGCGCCAACAAAAACAUCGCACCGAUGGUAGCACAAUGGGUGUGUCUUAUAAGAUACGUAAUAUCUGUUCUAAGCAGCACACGACCAUGGAAACACAAAUCUUAUCUAUAUCCUGAUCGCAGAAUCUUGGCCACAAACAUCUCCAAGCUAAAAACACAAGAUAACAUCGAAUCGUAAUGGUUCCAGAUAAGUCUCCAUCAGCAGGCAAUACAGCAGACAGGAGGUACGAGAUUGACAAAGGCAGCACCAGUCAGAUCACCACAACCAAUAAUCGGGUUAACGACCUUCAAAUUACAUGAUGAUGUGAAUGCUCCACUCCGCCUAUGCUCCGUCGGUGAGGG
rnacentral:lncRNA from 1 species